UUACGGCCAUGUAACUUUGAAUCACUGGUUCCCGUAGAAUCACCGAAGUUAAGCAACGUCGCGACUAGUCAGUACCUCGAGGGGUGAUCGCUUGGGAAUACCAAGGGCUGUAAG